AUCAUCAAAUUGUGGCCCCAAGUCAGGCGAGGCCACCCGCUGAGUUUAAGCAUAUC
rnacentral:rRNA from 1 species